GAGAGGUUUGUCCUCUAUUUGAAAUCAAUUCAAAGGACUGAAUCGGGCGUGCAUACAUAAUACACUGUUGCUUGUCAUCUAAAGUUUCUACUUUAGUAUUGUAUUAAGUCUACCCUGUUUUAAUUAAACAAGUGGUAAAUUGUAAUAGAAAACUCCUUAGAAGUAGAAACUUAAUAUAGUUAAUUAAACGUCACAAACAGUACCUACAGUGAAGCAGGAAAUAUAUUGUUAAUACUCGGUCCGAGACCUAAUUUCUUCCGCUUUGGUCUUGGUAUGAUGUAGACCUAUUUCGGUUCUGUUCGCAGUUCUUAAACCGUAGAGCAGUUAUACACAACAAUUUCUUGUCUUUUUAAGAACAAAGAGAAUAAUUUUGUUACGAAAAGAAUAAUGUCAGUUUUUAUUGUGAGACCGAUAAAGACAUGGGUUUACUACGAGACCUAGCUUGGACCAGGAUUAGUUCGGUCUCAGACUAAUGGUCACAGUGGUUGUGGCAUAUAUUUUAUCUAAUUGUUUCAAGUGGAUAGCUUCAAAUCUUCGUUUUAGGAAACUUCAUUGAAUAUAAGUAAUUCUGAUGGAAAUUUCAUUAUAAAAUUUGAAGGAUGUUCAAAUUUCAUGAUUAAAACUAAUAAUUUCAUCAGAGAGUAGUUUAUUUAUUCAAAAACUUUGGAGUUAAGCCAAAAGAUGUUUCAAAAACUUAUAAAUAAUUUUUUUUUUUAAAGAAUAAAAUAAAUAGAAUCUUCAUUGAGAUGAUUUAAUGCUCAUACAAUUUUGAAGUCUGAAUUAUACGAACUCUGAUAAGACUUUAUCCAAUUGAAUUAGACAAUGAUAUGAUCCUUCAAACUAGACCACUCUCAAAGUGUUGAUUCAACAACAACAUAAACACGAACCUAGCCAACACCUACGCAAUAAAUAUGUAUAUAAAAAAGGGAUAAUAAUAUCUGAUAAUCCUGUCUUGACAUGGAGAACAACAGUGUGCAUGAGUCGUCUACGACAAAGUAAGACAACUUAACUAAUACAAAAAUGAUGAACAAAGAAAUCUAUCAAAAGCUAGAUGUACUUUUGAGUCAGAAUGGUCAAAGAUCAAGGAGAUACAUGAUGUAUAGAUGGAUGGAAAAUCAUUGCUUACUUGUAAAAUGCGGUUUUGAUUGGCGUUGAAGGCAAUGAACGCCUCCUUUGUAUCGACGACUUUUCCACAUAAUUUGUAAUCACUAGUAUUAAUUUAGAGGGUAACCUGUAAGAAGAAGAGAAAAUAUAUUAUCGUUAAUUAUUAUUAACUAAAUAAGAAGUAUGAAGUAAUAAAGCUGUUUAAAACAAA
rnacentral:lncRNA from 1 species